UGCCCAGUCCUCAGCCGGGCAGAGCUCCCUGCCUGUUCCCGCCACGGAAAUGCAGCAUUUUGACCAGAAUUUAGGAAAAUUUGCAAGUUUGGUCACUUUAUUAUACAGCCAUAACAGUGGGAAAAUGAACACUACGUCUUUAAACACAAUUACUUGCCAUACUGAAGUGUGAAGUCCUGGAGUGUUACUGUUUCUUAAGCUUGGUUUCUACGGGUUUUUUAAAAUUUAUUUUAUACUGUUAUGAUUUUAAACAAAACACCAAUUUUAAACACAGGCCUCAGCACUGGAUUUAUUUAUUUAUUUAUUAAUUUUCCUGGUGCACUUACACUGUUCCUUGCUCAGUAACACCAUUAGUUUUAACAACUAAUUUAGAAGGGAAAACAACGCACUCCUUGGUUUUUGUUCAUCUGAUCCUGUAGAACACAGACUUCCAGAUAAUACAAGGAUUGUUUUACACAUCUGUUGUCUGAGGAUCAAAAAGGCACCCACAGAUUUUUUGGGCCAUGAUCUCACCUUGUCCUGUAGUAUCCUCUGAUUCACAUUACAAAAGCAGGAACAUGUUGACAGAUAACACAAUGUUUAAAAGCUUUCUCCUUUAAUUUUUAAACUGCAAGUGGAGGAAAGCAGCUUUGGCGCAGGAGAUGGGUUUUACAGCACCACAUUCUCCUACAUCGGCAUUCCGCGGCUUUGUCUCGCCUUUGCAGUAAGUCCACAGCACAUCCUGAUAAAGUUUUAUCCAUCGUUUUCUUAAGAGGAAUUAUGUAUUUCCCCCUACAUUUACUAGCAGAUGUUGUUUAUAAAAAGGCCAGAAGCCACCUGUACAAGUGACAUUAUUCCUUCCAAUCUUAGCGAUUACAUCUAGGAAUCAUUCUGCAACUUGGAGGGUAUUACGGAGUAAGGAGUAAAACUAAUGGAAAUUAUCAGUUGGGGCAACAUUUCCUCUGAAUCAAAAAGCACCUGGUAUUUUACAGACAUUUCACGUGCACUUAAGAAGCUUUUGUGUAUUCUCGAGUGUGAGGGAGGUAAUUGAAAAAGGAAACGACUUCACCUUUUUAGUGAAUAGCCCCUCGAAUUUGCUCUAUGAGGCUGAUAGCAAACCAGAACCACUGUCAGGUUAGGAACUGCGCAAGCCUCAAGGCCCAUCUAACUACAGCAAUCACACUGCAAAUGACUAAAACCAGAGCAUGGUGGGUUUCCUUUAAAGGUAAGAGACUUUAGCUAAUUUUUAUUCUCUGUCAGACUUGCAACAUAUUGAAGCAUUUUAUUAUUUUUUUUUUUAAUAUUUUCUUCUUCAGACUAUGGGAAAACUUCUAGAACCUCAACAGGAGUUCUGUUUCCAGACCAAGGAAGAAUUGAGCACCACGCACAGCACUAAGCCAAUUGAAAAUACCAUAGGUCAGAAGCAGUAUCUGUGAUACAAUGAUAAAAUAAUUCACUGCUAACCCAUGACGAAAUGUUUUAACAGAUGCUUCUGUUAGGAUAAUUUUUUUUAAAGAGUGGUAUAAAAUGACUUGUCUUAGCCCUGGUGAAAAACACUGAAGAAACCCCAAACCACAUGUUGUGAAACAGCAAACCUACCAAAAGACAGACAAUGGUGCUGCCAUUGCCUCAUACUUUGGUCUCAAGCAUCUGCCAUAAGAAGCACAGUGGUGUGUUUUGGAAGAGCUGUGGAACAUGGUACAGGCUUUCUCAAGAUCACUUCAAUGACUCCCUGGCAUUUUCACCUACUACAAAUUCAGUCAUCUUAGCUGAGCAACUAAAAAAAGAGCCAUGUUAAGCUAAAAGCAGAAAGACAAACAUUCUUCUGCUCUUCAGCAAGCAUUUUUUUCCUUUCUAUAAAAUGCCCUUUUGUAACAUGUUGUUUUACACGCAGUGCUGUGACGUAAAUCAGCCCCUGCAUCCUCUUGUGCGUGCUAUUCCCACGCUAGGGGAGGCUUCAGGCUCCAGCUCUGGACACUGCAAUCUGUUCCUGAGCUUUCCUGGGAGCCGGCUGGGGCAGGGCAGAGCAGAGCACAGGGGAAGCCAUGGUGGAUUGUCCCAUGGCAGCACCCAGCUCUGCACAAGUCACACCACCGCCCUGUCAGCACCUUGGUGCUGCGCUUCAGGAUUCUGCACACAGCUCUUCAAACUCAGCCUCAGGAAAUCUUUCCUUGUGGAACAUCUUAUCCCCAUGAAACAUUCCCUCCGAGCCUCCUGCUGCCAUCCCUCCUGGACACCCCUCUGCGGGACUCCCACAGCUGUCACCAAACUCCUGCUUGUACAAAUUGCCUGUGUCUCUGCCCUAGCUGGAAAGAUUCACACUUAGAAUGGAUACACACCUUUCACUUCAGUGAAAUUCCACAGUUUGCAAGGUAAAAUGAAGAGGUGAUGGGUGUAAAGGAACCCCCAGCCUAAAUCUCUAAAACACAGUUCAGAACCUUUUAAAGGGAUAUUACUGCUGAGAAGUAAAGGAAAAAAAUGAAGGCCUACCCUGGGAAACCAAGUCUGCUCCAGUUUUUCCUUUCAAAAUGUGCAACCCACACAAUAUCCAACUGUUCUUGUUUAUGAGAAUUAAGCAGUAAGGUCAGAUGGUUUAUUUUCUUAAAGGUGAGCAAAGCACACAAAGUUAAGUAACAGAACAGUCAAAGUUAGAUUUUCAAAAUAUUUUCACUUUUCAUACUCUAGGCCAGUUCCAGAGAGCUGGUUUGGAGAGUGGGCUUUUUCAUUUGGUCUGUGCAGUUUUACAGGAAUGCUGCAUAAUAUUCUAGCUAUUUUUCUACUGGAAAACACUUCUUUAUUUCCAUAGUUGUCAUCUUGUAAAAAUUUAUUUGGAAUUUGCCAAUGUUUUUGUUCUCUCUAUGCCUUAAAUUCACUAGAUUUAAAAAAAAAACCUUCAAUGUUUGAUCUUUUUGUAGUAAUACAAGAUUAUACAAGUAUAUUGAGACAUUUCUUAAUGACAAAUUUCUCUUGAAGAGAUCCUUUAUCGUGUUACAGGCAAAAUAUGUCAUUGCUUCUUUCCCACUCAAUGUUGAUUGAUUUAUUAGUUCCUCUGGGCUAUUUUGUUUCCCAAAUAAUUUUCUCAUGAUAGCACACAGAACCUGUUCUUUGUUGUGUUGCUGGCUAGGGAGACACAAGUUCAGGCUAAAAGCUGAGGCAUCAGAAUUUCAGACGCAUCUGUGACUCAGCUGAAUUUUGGAGACUGCUUAUGAACAUGGUUUAAGUGUACAUCAAAAAGCAAAUUACUGUGACUUAACAAGAACCUUUUCUGUCCUUUAAAUAGGGAGGAUGCCUGGUAGCAAUUUCUGGGUUGGCCAACCAACAAAUAACCCCAAGCUUAGGCUAUAUCCGUACCUUAUCACAGCACAAUUAGCACACUCUGAGAAGGACAAGCUGUUGGGCAGGGGAUGGACACUGCCCUGGCUGGGAUGUCUGUGCUGGCUGUGUUUGUUUCAAGGACUGUGGCUUGUUGGACACUGCAAGUCACCAACUCUCUCAAAGUUCCAAAGUCAUAUUCAGUUACACCUUCUGCUCACAAUGGAAAUAGCCCACAAAUACCCUUGAUAACUCUCUGUUCUUUCUAAAAAUAGCCAACAGUCAUAUUCCUCCCCACUGCUGCCUCCACACCUAGAACUUCUCACAGACCUAAGGGAGCCUCACAUCCCAAGUAUCUCCCAAAUCCAGGAUUAAGUCUCUAGCAUAGACAACUACUUGCUGAUUUGGCUCCCUGAUCCCACCUGACUAUUCACAUGCACCUCCACAGUCACUUUGGCAUUUCCAUUGAAGGAGAAGGCGAGAAUAUCCCUUCCUCCACUUCCCCUGAGGGACAGACAAGCUUCCUGAGCCAGGAGAGGAGGGAGGCCACCCCUUCCUUACAUGCAGGGCCAAGCCACACAGCAGCUCUGUCACUCGGGGCUGAUGCCAGCUCUGUCCUGUGCCAGUGCUCUGGACUGCCCUGGACUGGGACCAACACACUGAAUCUGGGCUCCCUGCUUCCUCACACUGAGAAAUGUUGCCAAGAAAGUAAAUUAACAAAAAAAGUGUCUCCACUGUUUACUUUUCCACUACCUUUUUAUGUUCCUCAUUUCUCCCUACUGAUUAAAUGAUAUUGCUCUGUCCACAUUUGCUGAAGUCUUUCAUCUGCCCUGUUGACACAUUCAUGCUCCAGCCCACAACCACUUUGAGACUGAGUUACCUCCCUGACACACAUCCCUCGUCUGCUCAGGAGAGCUUCCUCGCACUGAGGUUGGAGUCUGGAGGCUCUGUUCUUCCCAGGUGUAAUCCCUUGACUCACACUGGUAUUACACACCCAGAUGUCUCCUCAUCACAGGCCAUGGUCCUGCUUUUCUGGGACAGCUCCUACCCUUGGGCCCCUGAUGAACCGUAGCAAAACCAGAUCCCUGACACUUCCCUCCCACACCCUUCCAUGCCUCUCCUGAUCCUGGAUUAACUCCAGUCUCUGACAGAGACAGAAGUCUGUGACAACCCUGCAAGAUAAAAUAAUCUGAGAUGUUUGCAGAGAACUCUGUAAAGGACUCUGGGGAAAGGCUACAGGCCAAGGACUCAGCCCAUCUCCCCUCCAACACAUACAGGCUGCAGAGGUGGAAAGGACAAAGCAGAAAACUUGGAAUGCAUCAAGUAAAGAGCAAGUGGCAGUAAAAACCAUGGCAGACUGAUAGACUUUGGGUGGAAAUGGAGUGCAGGCAGUGCUGCUGUUGUUGUGCUGGCAGUAAUUUGGAGCAGUGCUGUGCUGUGCCAGAUACAGUACACUCUAAGGCUCUGAAAAAAUAAAGGUUUCUCUGGGUGAGUAAGAAUAAAUAAGAGCAGCAUUAUUAAUCAAGUUGGUAAGACUAAAUAAAUAGCAUCAGGGACAAGAUAUAAAUGAAAACUUAUAAGUGUCAGAAGUGACAGUCUCCAAACUCCAGGUGUCUGCAAUGAGCUCCUGCAGCAUUCCUGCAGGUCAGCCUUUGAAGUGAGCCCUUGAGGAUCCCUGGCCCUGGAAGAGCUGGCUGACAAAGGGGACAUGCUACUGCUUUCUCCCUGCUCCAAAGUGGGUGCUCUGCUCCAGGACUUCCUCUGAUCCCCAGGUGUUCUGCUCCUGAGGCCCUUGAGCCCCCACAUCAAAGGCAGAUGGAAGGAUGUGAGGCUGUCUGAUGCCAAUUGUCUCCUCUGUCAGUAGCAGAGAUGCUGAGAGGAGCUGCAGCUGCAGGAGAGAAGGUCGCACACCAGGACUGUUCAAGGUGACAGAAGCUCAAAGCCCACUGGUGGCACAGAUGGAAAUCAAAUAUAACCAGUGAAAUAAAAUAUAACCAGCGCUCUACACUUCAGCCACUGCUGCUAAGCAGACAGAGACAAACCCACAGUUUUAUCAGGAAUAAUUCUCAAACUGAAAAGUUUCCUCCAAAACAAAUACAUUUACCUGUACCUGAGAGGAAAAAGAUUGAAACCAAACCAAACACCGGAAUUUGGGCUUAACAUAUUGUUGUUUGACCUAAAUUAAUUCUAAUCCAAUAAAUUAUCUGGGCACUAAUGAAAUAAUUCUUUCUAAUGAUUACAGAGCAGCAGAAGUUACAAUCAGUUCAUGCCUCACCUCACCAAUUAAAGCAUGAGGGGACAAGCAAAUUACUGUUUUAGGCUUUGAUUCAACACAAUAUUUCAGCAGAAGUUUCAGCCUUAAUUUACUUUCUUUGUGCUGAAAUACUUUGCUGAAAUGAAGCCUCAAAGACUUUGAUUUUCCCACUUCUGUUUUAAUCAGACCAGCCCUCAAGACAUGAUACCACCUUCUGCACCUCAAGUUCCCUGACUGCUGUGGGAGAGGCUGCUGCAAAGGCAGCCUCUCAUCAGCAAGGCAUGUUGAAGCUUUGGAAAUUUGAAUAAUUUUUUACUUUUCUAGAAGCCCUUCAGGGGCUGGGCAAACUUCAAGCCUUUCUAAGGUGGUUUGGAACUAGAGACUGUAACUUUUGAAGCUAAUAUUGUAGUUUCAUGUUAGUGUGUUAUUAAUACAUUUUUUAAUUUUAAGAAUAUAAUUUAUUUUUAAAGUCAAAUAAUUAGAUUUUAACGUCCUGGAUUGAGAAUUCCCUGUGGCAGAAUCCUUCUGUAAAAGGUCCAACUCUGUGUAGGGGUGCACAGGGAGGAGGAUUCCCCUGCUGCUGCCAAGCUCUCCUCACCUGACCCUCACCUUCAAGUGAAUCUGAAAAUCUGGGUGUCUGCAGGAAGUUCAGGAUGGAGUGGUUGCAUAUGUGACCUAAAAAGGAGUUCUGAAGUUGCUGAAUUUCUGUUAAUAAAUCUGAUUUCUCUAGAUUAAUCAGUAAGAUGUUUAAAAUCAAAAUAGUGGGUUCCUAUUACAUGGAAAAUUGCAUGAGUUUGGGCUGUUAAAGCUAGAGUAAUAUUUUGCAUUGUGAUUUAUUUUAUACAGCAAACACAGUAUAUAACACUCUCAGUAAGAGGCAAACUAAGAGUUACCACCUGAGGUCUCUAGUAGCUGGCCUAAAUGCAGCUAAUAUUGUAUCUCUGAUCAGUACCCAAAAUCCUUCUUUUCAGGAAACACAGACAAAUUUGUGCAUAAUUUUUCUCAUGGAAGGCUAUGCUCCUAUGUUUAAAUAAAAUGAAGAAUUCUAAUCUCCAGUGUAAAUGUGAUGAUGGAUGGAAACACAUACAAUUCAUGUGAGGAUCAUGGUGAGCCAAGUCCAUUUGGCCCAUCUCAAAUUUAGCAGCCAGUUCUGAACAUUUUAAACUUAAUCAUCAGACACACUGCAAGAAUUAUUGCUACAGUCAGCCCCUGGUACUGGGUAAAGAGCUCCCUAAAGCACAAACAGAUCUCCCCUGUUUGUUACGGCCCAAAACAUCUAUUACCCAGACUUAACAUAUUUUCACAUGUAUUGCCAGGGGUGAGGUAACAACUCAGUCCUGAAGCAGAUGAAAACCUCUCACUCUGCACAGGAACUUGACAAAGCAAGAACCUUGCUCAACAAGUGAACUCUUCCUAGGGUGGGUGAUUGCUUUGUCAACCCAGCAGUGCUGCAAUUGCACCCUGUGCCCUCAGCCUCCAGGUCCAUCCACUCCCCCUGAGCCAAGCUCCCCCCACCUGGCAAGCAGCAGCCUGAUGCAGAAGUGAGAACCAAUCUUUGCUUUUCCCAGGGGAAGGGCAGAGUCCAACCACAGUGGCUCCCCUAAUUUGAAUGCUGACAUAUUUGCUGCAAGUGACCUUUGUGAUAUCUCAUGGAAUGCAAACAAGUGAUAACACUGGCAGGGAGAGGGGGGCACUGAGACUGAGGAGGAAAUGCAUAUUUUCCACAUCACAUCAGCCCAAUUAUCAGUUAUUGUCCUUUGCAAAAUCUUUUAAUUAUGCUUACAGCUCAAAGAGUGAGGCUGUUUAACCUUCACACCACUCAGAUGGCCAUUUGGGCCCAUGAAAAGGAGCUAAACCCAAACCCAAGCCUUCUUUUACAAGUAAUAAGUCACACUUCGGGUUUUAUCUGGCACUUUCUACAGGGCAGCAGGAGAACAGCUAACCUUGUAAAACCUUAAUAAAGGAAUCCCAGUUUGUCCUCACCUGUCUGGCAAAAGCAGUGCUGCAGCUCCUUUUAUCAGUGGGGCACCAGUGAGGCAUUUAAUUCUGGGACAGGCCCAGUGACUACUGAAGGUGAGUUAUGGAGAGCACAGGCAGAAAUGCCUUUUUGCUAUUGAUGAUUCCUAGUAGGAGAUUUUUUAUGUUGAACCAAAAGUUACAACCCUAUUUCUGGAAUUGUUUUCCCUGACUUUGAUUCACAGAGCCAUGGUUUACCUCACUGCAGUGUUAACAAGCAUAGUUCAUGGAGCAGACUUGCCCAGCAUUUUGUGUCAUCAUCAUCUGUGUUCCUUUUUUGGUCCCUCCUUCUCGUAUUUGACAGAAAACUGAGUGGGCAACAUCUUCAUUGAUAAACUCUUCUCUGGCCACAUCCCCCUCAGCUUUAGUGUGCAACAUCCUCUCCUGGAUUGUGCUGUUUUACCCCACCAGCACAGAUCCAUCACUGACACCGACUGAGCACAUUCCCACAGCUUAACAGAGAUGGACACCAUGAAAGAUGAUGUGCCCUCAGGAGUUCUUUUUUUAAAGCCAAUGGAUUUUUCAGUCACAUAAAGUAAUUCAGAUUUUCAAUGUUUGAUAAUUAAACAGCUCAUUAGGACAUGUCAAAGAAAAAGUAAGUGCAGGUUCAUUCUGACUAUAU